AGCAUCCGUAGCUCGUUUUGUAAGUUUUCGGUUAAAUCCAUGCGCUUAACGUAUGGGCUGCCGGGAAUACUGCAUAACUAGGAAGUGGGAGAGGUAGACGGUACUCGGUAGGAAGGGGUAAAAUCCUUUGAUCUAUUGAUGACCACCUGUGGCGAAGGCGGUCUACCAGAACACGUUCGACGGUGAGGGAUGAAAGCUGGGGGAGCAAACCGGAUUAGAUACCCGGGUAGUCCCAGCUGUAAAUUAUGCAAACUCAGUGAUGCGUUGGCUUGUGGCCAAUGCAGUGCUGCAGGGAAGCCGUUAAGUUUGCCGCCUGGGAAGUACGUACGCAAGUAUGAAACUUAAAGGAAUUGGCGGGGGAGCACAAGCC
rnacentral:rRNA from 2 species